GACGAACGCUGGCGGCGUGCUUAACACAUGCAAGUCGAACAGAAAGGCCCUGCUUUUGUGGGGUGCUCGAGUGGCGAACGGGUGAGUAACACGUGAGUAACCUGCCCUUGACUUUGGGAUAACUUCAGGAAACUGGGGCUAAUACCGGAUAGGAGCUCCUGCUGCAUGGUGGGGGUUGGAAAGUUUCGGCGGUUGGGGAUGGACUCGCGGCUUAUCAGCUUGUUGGUGGGGUAGUGGCUUACCAAGGCUUUGACGGGUAGCCGGCCUGAGAGGGUGACCGGCCACAUUGGGACUGAGAUACGGCCCAGACUCCUACGGGAGGCAGCAGUGGGGAAUAUGGCACAAUGGGCGGAAGCCUGAUGCAGCAACGCCGCGUGCGGGAUGACGGCCUUCGGGUUGUAAACCGCUUUCGCCUGUGACGAAGCGUGAGUGACGGGAAUGGGUAAAGAAGCACCGGCUAACUACGU
rnacentral:rRNA from 1 species